rnacentral:rRNA from 1 species
UGGGGAAUAUUGGACAAUGGGGGAAACCCUGAUCCAGCGACGCCGCGUGAGUGAAGAAGUAUUUCGGUAUGUAAGGCUCUAUCAGCAGGGAAGAAAAUGACGGUACCUGACUAAGAAGCCCCGGCUAACUACGUGCCAGCAGCCGCGGUAAUACGUAGGGGGCAAGCGUUAUCCGGAUUUACUGGGUGUAAAGGGAGCGCAGACGGCAAUGCAAGUCUGAAGUGAAAGGCGUGGGCUCAACCCAUGAACUGCUUUGGAAACUGUAUAGCUUGAGUGUCGGAGGGGUAAGCGGAAUUCCUAGUGUAGCGGUGAAAUGCGUAGAUAUUAGGAGGAACACCGGAGGCGAAGGCGGCUUACUGGACGACAACUGACGUUGAGGCUCGAAGGCGUGGGGAGCAAACAGGAUUAGAUACCCUGGUAGUCCACGCAGUAAACGAUGAAUACUUGGUGUCGGGGAGGUAAACUCUUCGGUGCCGCAAGCUAACGCAUUAAGUAUUCCACCUGGGGAGUACGUUCGCAAGAAUG